rnacentral:ncRNA from 1 species
GAUAGGUAACCGGGGUACGUUCCGGGGGAUUUGUGGCGGUGCGAGGGAAAUCCGGUGAAAUACCGGUGCGGUCGCGCCACUGUAACCGGCACUUCGGCGCCGGAAGCCAGGUCACUCGACCGCCACCAACCUACGAA